UGGGUUCGAAUCCCAUAAUUUUAG
rnacentral:tRNA from 1 species